ensembl:lncRNA
UCUAACAGCUAUUUAAUCAACUUAGAAAGAAACUAUGAAGACCAGCUGCAUUCUGCUCUGAAGCUGAGAAGCUUCUCAGAAGUAAAGAAAAUGUUAAUUAAACACCUGCUAGAUUCAAAAAGGUCUGCAAGGGAAAGUGAGAGGCUGUUAGAUUGUAGGUCUAGGUAAAUGUUCAGAAGUAAAUAAAAAUAAAUAAAUAAACUUAGAGAUGAUGUUAGUGGAUCUCAAGAUUCGCAUAUAAAAACUGACUAUAUUUUGUGUGAAUCUAAUUGCUCCAUACUUACUGGAACAUCAUGGUUAUACGCCAUUUUGUUCUUUACAAAUAAAUAAAUGAAUAAAUAAUAUUCUCUAUAAAUGUUUGAGACCUUAGACAUGCAAAUGAUUGGAAGAUACAGCAUCUCCAAUCAGUACUUCAGUCUGGAGUGAUGAGGAGAAGAGUCUGGGCUAAUUCAGAUAGAAGUAUGCUGUUUAUGAUUUACCACUGCCCCACUGUAAAUUCUAAUAUUUAGAGGCAAUUCAAGCUUAGGUCAGCAUGGACUGAUAUCAGACUGGAUCAUAACAGAUGGUAGAAAAACUUACUCAAUGUUUUCACCUACUGCCUGAUUUCUUUUCAAGCUUUCUACUCAUCAGUGUGCCACUAAUACUCAUAAAAAGUAAUGAACUGAUUAAUAAUCUUUGGAAAUUCUAGAGGAUGUACACUGUAGCUGUGAAAGAGUUUUUGAAAACUAGGAGGACAAUUAUGUGAGAUUUCAAAAGUGUCUUGUAUUUAUACAAUCUUUCUUCUGUGCUGGAGGAGACAAAUUCUUAUUCCAUGGCUGGUGUCAGAUUCUUAACUGAUAUAAUUAGUAUGGGACAUCCCAUCAUUAUGAUUUCUUUACUGCUGCAAGUAGCUAUGUGUUUGAUCAUUAAAAAUAAUGCUACAAUCUGUAUUUUGAUGCGUUAACAGUAUUCUUUCAGGGAUAUCAAUGUAUUCUUUAAAGUGCUGCCUUAGGAAAAACACUUUUCUGCACUUUCAUGGUGAAUACUUGUAUCCAAAAUAAUUAAUAAUAAUAAUAAUAAUAAUAAUAAUAACAACACUAGAUUUUUGUGGGAAAAAAAAUCACCCUUUCAACAGCAUAUUUCUCUCUCUUAUAGCCAAUCAACUGAAGACAAGAAAACACAGUAACAAACAUGUAACAUUUUUACUGAAGUACACUUCCUAUACAUGCAUUUUAAGCAUCUAAAUCAGCACCAAAAGUCAUGAAUAAUAUCUGGUAUUUAAAGGUCAUUUAAAGAUAUCAGACAUAAACAUUGCACAUGAUUUCUGAUGAGAUUUGGAGGUGGUAAACCACCUUGAAAAAUGGAAAAAAAUUACAAAAUUAACUAGGCAUGUUAUCUUCAGAAGAGGGCUUGAUUAGUAUUUAAUAAGAAAAUAUGAAAGCAUAUGAACUACAGUGAGAAGAAAUACAAUCAUGUAUUUGAUUCUGUUCCUAAAUGCAUCAUCAGUAUGCAAUGAAUGAAUCAAAGAUCUUGAGGAAAAAAAAGCACUUUGGGAAACUGAAUAAUAAUAUAUAUGUUUUUUCCUCUUUGACCUUUCAGUUAUAUUAUUGUAAGGUUUAGGAUACAUGGCUGUGAUUUAGUUUUCUAUUUUCAGAGUGCCUUUUUAUCGUUGUUAGCAUACAGAGCCACCUGCAACAUUCCACUUCCACAAAGCAUCAUGAGACCAUCAAUGUUCACUUUCUCAGUGCAUGUUGAAUUGAUGAAUACUAAGUUUGAAGAAUAUGUUUUCAAUCAUUAAAAGAUUUUUAAC